UACGAAGGGGGCGAGCGUUGUUCGGAAUUACUGGGCGUAAAGGGCGCGUAGGCGGCCUGUUAAGUCGGACGUGAAAUCCCUCGGCUCAACCGGGGAACUGCGUCCGAUACUGGCGGGCUUGAAUUCGGGAGAGGGAUGUGGAAUUCCAGGUGUAGCGGUGAAAUGCGUAGAUAUCUGGAGGAACACCGGUGGCGAAGGCGGCAUCCUGGACCGACAUUGACGCUGAGGCGCGAAAGCCAAGGGAGCAAACGGG
rnacentral:rRNA from 1 species